AGUAAGAUCAAUCUAAUAUUCUAUUAUCUCCUUCAUCAUUCUAAUAUACACACACACCCACCCUCAUUCUUACAACAUUAGAUAAUGACAUAUAAAUUAAAUAUGAUUUAUAUUCAGUGUUUUAUUAUUUUUAUUAUGGUCAUAUUUGACUAAAUAUACGAAUAUCUAUAUUCCUUAAAAAUUAUUUGGCCAAUAUAGUAAAAUAAAUUACCAAGUUGUAUUACUUGGCUUGCAAUUUGAAUAUUGCAUGUACAUACUUUGGGGCUGGUUGACCUUUAAAUUUACAAAACUAACCUUUAAGUUUUAAGAGUUUAAAUGCAUGAUAAAUAUCACUAUUAUGCUAUGAAUAAAAUUUAUUAUCAUUAUAAUUCUACAAUUGUUAAGAGACUUUUAAAAUAAAAUAAAAUUAAAAAUGGGUGGAUAUAGAUAUGGAUUUAGACAUUAGGAUAGAUCCAGAUCCGUCUUAGAUCCGCACAUCAAUAUCCAAAUCCGAUCCAAAUUCAUUUUAAACCGACCCAAAUCUGAUCCGAUUGGAUUUGGAUCACGUGGAUCUUGGAUCAGAUCCAAUCCAUUGCCAUCCCUACAAGAAACUAUGAUCACAAAAUUAUCUAUAUAUAAACUCAUAAUAAUUAAUCUAAAUCUUUCAUGCAUAUCUCUCUAAUUCUCUUUGCUUUCUUUGCAAGCAAAAUCUUUCACCUUCAGUUUCAAUAACUCUAAUAAAGUUUCUAAAAUAUGAGGCAAGGUAACAUGCAUUAUAAACUCGAAAAUCAUGCACGAAAUAACACUUUGCCUGAACCCAAACCGCUUGCCGAAUAUGUGAUCAAGUGUUUUUAAACACACAGGCUCUCAUCAACCAUGCUGAAACACACAUGGUUAACGAUGGAACUGCUGCCAUCGUUCUCAAACUCACAAUUUUACUUCACAAACGCUAAUUCUCAUAACAAUUUUGAAACCCUAAUUUUCAUAACAAUUUUACUUCACAAACGCCUCUGCAGCCUCAGCCAUCAAUUUUCAUAGCGGCCAUGUUGCACAGCCUCGAAGUCUUUUGAUUCAGCAACGUUCUAGCAGCGACCUCACUAAGCCGUUGAUUGAUCAGUUGCAGAAACAUAUCUCAGAUGUUGAGAGAGCUGAUGGCAACAAAAGGGCUUAUGAAUCAGGGAUGCUAGAUUUGACAGUGAAGCUGUGAUGGCAAAACCCAGUUCAGAAGCAAGGCCUCUUUUUCUUUUCUUUUUUUUUUUAAUUUUUUUUAUCCUAAUAAUAUUUAUCUUCAAAAAGAAAAAAGAAAGAAAUUAGUGUGAUAUCUAAACAUCCCAUGUAAAUAAUAUUAGAUCAUAAAAAUUCAAAGAUUUUUUAAAGAUUAUGUAUAAACAAUUUAAUGAAAGACACAACUGAUGUUUAUUCUAUAAAAAUUAUAGUGAAUGAUAAAAUUAGUAAAAGAAUAACAUCUAACUAAACAUACGAAAUAACAACCAUAAAGCACACAUGUACAAUAUCUUCAUUGAACGAGGUUUACAGAGAAUCCAUCCUCUCUAAUGCCCAAAAUCGGUCACGGACCUUUUCAAACUAAAGACAAAAGGAUUGACCUGUUAAUUUUUAUUUUUAUUUGGUCUUGCUGACGUGCUCUCCACUUGUAAUCAAAGCCAUUUAAGUUCGCUAUUACAUUCCUCGUGUAAUUUCGUUACAAGUCAGGCCAAUGAAUUUAAUUCUAAUUCGACCUUAAAUCCCACUGGACGAAAUCAAAUAAUCUACAACUCUCUUUAAUUUUGAUCCUUUAAGCACUAUUUGUUCCCAAUCUUUAGUUUAUUACCCUAUUCAAUAGAAAUAAAUUAAUUAGUUAAAAAUAUAAAUAAAAGAAACUAACAAAUAAACGAUGAAAGUUGAAAUAUAUCAAUAAAUUAUACCCAUUUCUAAGGCAACCUUUGAAGAUUGGAAACCUAGAUAAUUAAAAGAAAUAUGCCCUAAAGAAAAAAUCAAGGCACCUAGACUAUAUUUAAUAAUAAAUAAAUGAUAAGUGAUUCGUUCUGCUUUUCAAGCUAUUCUUCUUCACAGUUUAAAUUUUAUUUAUGGCCAUCUUCUCUUAUUAAAGAUCGUCAUAGUUGUGCCCAAAAGUUUAUUUUAGCGGGCAUUUAUCAGCCGAGGAAGUUGGUUUUUAUCUCUUGAUAUUAAUUUUGUUCUACUAUGGCUGAAGGUGGUUAGUGUCUGCGAAGGCUGGAUAUUUUGAAUAAGGCUUGUUUGCUUAAGUUCCUAUGAGACCUUCGGAAUAAGCUUAUUUUGAACUCCACUUAUCUUCUUGCUCGUUAUGAUCUCUAUGAUUCCCGAAAGAGUUUAUGCUCUUCUUCAUGGGCUAGAUUGCGUUCUACUAUUUCUGCGUGCAAUCAUGGUUGCAGAUGGCUAGUGGGGGAUGGUUCUAAGAUCAACUAUUGGCAUUACACUUGGCUUUCUCGGCCUAUUCUUCCGCGUGAGGAUUUUGCUGAUUAUAGUGGCUAACGAUGUCUGGAAUUUGCCAUCUGAUUUCUUUUCUUCUUUUCCAUCUCUUAAGCCAUCUUUUGAUGAGAUUACUCCCGCCAAGCUAAUGUUGCGGAUCGAUUGAUUUGGACGGCUCCGAGAGAUGGUUGGCUUAGGCUUCGUU
rnacentral:lncRNA from 1 species